GACAUAGGUGGCAAGCGUUAUCCGGAAUUACUGGGCGUAAAGCGUGCGCAGGCGGCUUUGCAAGACAGAUGUGAAAUCCCCGGGCUUAACCUGGGAACUGCAUUUGUGACUGCAUGGCUGGAGUGCGGCAGAGGGGGAUGGAAUUCCGCGUGUAGCAGUGAAAUGCGUAGAUAUGCGGAGGAACACCGAUGGCGAAGGCAAUCCCCUGGGCCUGCACUGACGCUCAUGCACGAAAGCGUGGGGAGCAAACAGG
rnacentral:rRNA from 1 species